AGCCCGCUCGCCGGAAGACCAAGGGUUCCUGUCCAACGUUAAUCGGGGCAGGGUGAGUCGACCCCUAAGGCGAGGCCGAAAGGCGUAGUCGAUGGGAAACAGGUUAAUAUUCCUGUACUUGGUGUUACUGCGAAGGGGGGACGGAGAAGGCUAUGUUGGCCGGGCGACGGUUGUCCCGGUUUAAGCGUGUAGGCUGGUUUUCCAGGCAAAUCCGGAAAAUCAAGGCUGAGGCGUGAUGACGAGGCACUACGGUGCUGAAGCAACAAAUGCCCUGCUUCCAGGAAAAGCCUCUAAGCAUCAGGUAACAUCAAAUCGUACCCCAAACCGACACAGGUGGUCAGGUAGAGAAUACCAAGGCGCUUGAGAGAACUCGGGUGAAGGAACUAGGCAAAAUGGUGCCGUAACUUCGGGAGAAGGCACGCUGAUAUGUAGGUGAAGUCCCUCGCGGAUGGAGCUGAAAUCAGUCGAAGAUACCAGCUGGCUGCAACUGUUUAUUAAAAACACAGCACUGUGCAAACACGAAAGUGGACGUAUACGGUGUGACGCCUGCCCGGUGCCGGAAGGUUAAUUGAUGGGGUUAGCCGCAAGGCGAAGCUCUUGAUCGAAGCCCCGGUAAACGGCGGCCGUAACUAUAACGGUCCUAAGGUAGCGAAAUUCCUUGUCGGGUAAGUUCCGACCUGCACGAAUGGCGUAAUGAUGGCCAGGCUGUCUCCACCCGAGACUCAGUGAAAUUGAACUCGCUGUGAAGAUGCAGUGUACCCGCGGCAAGACGGAAAGACCCCGUGAACCUUUACUAUAGCUUGACACUGAACAUUGAGCCUUGAUGUGUAGGAUAGGUGGGAGGCUUAGAAGUGUGGACGCCAGUCUGCAUGGAGCCGACCUUGAAAUACCACCCUUUAAUGUUUGAUGUUCUAACGUUGACCCGUAAUCCGGGUUGCGGACAGUGUCUGGUGGGUAGUUUGACUGGGGCGGUCUCCUCCUAAAGAGUAACGGAGGAGCACGAAGGUUGGCUAAUCCUGGUCGGACAUCAGGAGGUUAGUGCAAUGGCAUAAGCCAGCUUGACUGCGAGCGUGACGGCGCGAGCAGGUGCGAAAGCAGGUCAUAGUGAUCCGGUGGUUCUGAAUGGAAGGGCCAUCGCUCAACGGAUAAAAGGUACUCCGGGGAUAACAGGCUGAUACCGCCCAAGAGUUCAUAUCGACGGCGGUGUUUGGCACCUCGAUGUCGGCUCAUCACAUCCUGGGGCUGAAGUAGGUCCCAAGGGUAUGGCUGUUCGCCAUUUAAAGUGGUACGCGAGCUGGGUUUAGAACGUCGUGAGACAGUUCGGUCCCUAUCUGCCGUGGGCGCUGGAGAACUGAGGGGGGCUGCUCCUAGUACGAGAGGACCGGAGUGGACGCAUCACUGGUGUUCGGGUUGUCAUGCCAAUGGCACUGCCCGGUAGCUAAAUGCGGAAGAGAUAAGUGCUGAAAGCAUCUAAGCACGAAACUUGCCCCGAGAUGAGUUCUCCCUGACUCCUUGAGAGUCCUGAAGGAACGUUGAAGACGACGACGUUGAUAGGCCGGGUGUGUAAGCGCAGCGAUGCGUUGAGCUAACCGGUACUAAUGAACCGUGAGGCUUAACC
rnacentral:rRNA from 1 species